rnacentral:rRNA from 2 species
UGGAUCCAGACUUUGAUCAUGGCUCAGGAUGAACGCUAGCUACAGGCUUAACACAUGCAAGUCGAGGGGAAACGACAUUGAAAGCUUGCUUUCGAUGGGCGUCGACCGGCGCACGGGUGAGUAACGCGUAUCCAACCUGCCCAUCACUUGGGGAUAACCUUGCGAAAGUAAGACUAAUACCCAAUGACGUCUCUAGAAGACAUCUGAAAGAGAUUAAAGAUUUAUCGGUGAUGGAUGGGGAUGCGUCUGAUUAGCUUGUUGGCGGGGUAACGGCCCACCAAGGCGACGAUCAGUAGGGGUUCUGAGAGGAAGGUCCCCCACAUUGGAACUGAGACACGGUCCAAACUCCUACGGGAGGCAGCAGUGAGGAAUAUUGGUCAAUGGACGAGAGUCUGAACCAGCCAAGUAGCGUGCAGGAUGACGGCCCUAUGGGUUGUAAACUGCUUUUAUAAGGGAAUAAAGUGAGUCUCGUGAGGCUUUUUGCAUGUACCUUAUGAAUAAGGACCGGCUAAUUCCGUGCCAGCAGCCGCGGUAAUACGGAAGGUCCGGGCGUUAUCCGGAUUUAUUGGGUUUAAAGGGAGCGUAGGCCGGAGAUUAAGCGUGUUGUGAAAUGUAGAUGCUCAACAUCUGCACUGCAGCGCGAACUGGUUUCCUUGAGUACGCACAAAGUGGGCGGAAUUCGUGGUGUAGCGGUGAAAUGCUUAGAUAUCACGAAGAACUCCGAUUGCGAAGGCAGCUCACUGGAGCGCAACUGACGCUGAAGCUCGAAAGUGCGGGUAUCGAACAGGAUUAGAUACCCUGGUAGUCCGCACGGUAAACGAUGGAUGCCCGCUGUUGGUCUGAAUAGGUCAGCGGCCAAGCGAAAGCAUUAAGCAUCCCACCUGGGGAGUACGCCGGCAACGGUGCAACUCAAAGGAAUUGACGGA